rnacentral:lncRNA from 1 species
AUAUGUUUUUCAAAUGAUUUAUCAUGUAUUUAAAGUGUUAAAUAUUUGUAUAAAUGAUGAUGGAAACAUCAAUCAUCAAAACAUAUAUUAAUUUUAUGAAAGUAUUUAAAGUGUUAAAUAUUUGUAUAAAUGAUGAUGGAAACAUCAAUCAUCAAAACAUAUAUUAAUUUUAUGAAAGUAUUUAAAGUGUUAAAUAUUUGUAUAAAUGAUGAUGGAAAUAUCAAUCAUCAAAACAUAUAUUAUUUUUAUGAAAGGUGAAAGCACUACUUGAUUGUU